rnacentral:rRNA from 1 species
AAUGGGCGCAAGCCUGAUCCAGCCAUGCCGCGUGCGGGAAGAAGGCCUUCGGGUUGUAAACCGCUUUUGUCAGGGAAGAAAAGGUUCUGGCUAAUACCUGGGACUCAUGACGGUACCUGAAGAAUAAGCACCGGCUAACUACGUGCCAGCAGCCGCGGUAAUACGUAGGGUGCAAGCGUUAAUCGGAAUUACUGGGCGUAAAGCGUGCGCAGGCGGUUAUGCAAGACAGAGGUGAAAUCCCCGGGCUCAACCUGGGAACUGCCUUUGUGACUGCAUGGCUAGAGUACGGUAGAGGGGGAUGGAAUUCCGCGUGUAGCAGUGAAAUGCGUAGAUAUGCGGAGGAACACCGAUGGCGAAGGCAAUCCCCUGGACCUGUACUGACGCUCAUGCACGAAAGCGUGGGGAGCAAA